UGGGGAAUAUUGGACAAUGGGGGCAACCCUGAUCCAGCAAUGCCGCGUGUGUGAAGAAGGCCUGAGGGUUGUAAAGCACUUUCAGUGGGGAGGAGGUUUUGCAGGUUAAGAGCUAGCAAAAUGGACGUUACCCACAGAAGAAGCACCGGCUAACUCCGUGCCAGCAGCCGCGGUAAUACGGAGGGUGCGAGCGUUAAUCGGAAUUACUGGGCGUAAAGGGUGCGUAGGUGGUUUAUUAAGUUAUCUGUGAAAUCCCUGGGCUCAACCUGGGCAGGUCAGAUAAGACUGGUAGACUCGAGUAUGGGAGAGGGUAGUGGAAUUUCCGGUGUAGCGGUGAAAUGCGUAGAGAUCGGAAGGAACACCAGUGGCGAAGGCGGCUACCUGGCCCAAUACUGACACUGAGGCACGAAAGCGUGGGGAGCAAACAGG
rnacentral:rRNA from 1 species